GUAUUUCUGUCUCAUUGACAUUGUUAUUUUUGUUGUUAGAUUUCUGUCUCAUUGACAUUGUUAUUUUUGUUGUUAGAUUUCUGUCUCAUUGACAUUGUUAUUUUUGUAGUUGUAUUUCUGUCUCAUUGACAUUGUUAUUUUUGUUGUUAGAUUUCUGUCUCAUUGACAUUGUUAUUUUUGUUGUUAGGUUUCUGUCUCAUUGACAUUGUUAUUUUUUGUUGUUAGAUUUCUGUCUCAUUGACAUUGUUAUUUUUGUAGUUGUAUUUCUGUCUCAUUGACAUUGUUAUUUUUGUUGUUAGAUUUCUGUCUCAUUGACAUUGUUAUUUUUGUUGUUGUAUUUCUGUCUCAUUGACAUUGUUAUUUUUGUUGUCAUUUCUGUCUCAUUGACAUUGUUAUUUUGUUGGAUUUCUGUCUCAUUGACAUUGUUAUUUUUGUUGUUAGAUUUCUGUCUCAUUGACAUUGCUAUUUUUGUAGUUGUAUUUCUGUCUCAUUGACAUUGUUAUUUUUGUUGUUAGAUUUCUGUCUUAUUGACAUUGCUAUUUUUGUAGUUGUAUUUCUGUCUCAUUGACAUUGUUAUUUUUGUUGUUAGAUUUCUGUCUCAUUGACAUUGUUAUUUUUGUAGUUAGAUUUCUGUCUCAUUGACAUUGUUAUUUUUGUUGUUAGAUUUCUGUCUCAUUGACAUUGCUAUUUUUGUAGUUGGGUUUCUGUUUCAUUGACAUAUGCCUCACAUCUCCUUUUAUUUAUGCUGCACUUAAUUUUCCGUGUGCUCAAAAUGGCUGAUAAAAAAGUUUUAUCAUUUAAUUCUGAUAGCAGUACCAGAUUUUCUUUGGAUCAAAUCUAGAGAGUCGAUUUGUAUUGUUUUCGGAUUAACGUCCCGUGGCAAAUACUUCAUGCAUAUUAAAGCUCUUGUUUUAGAAAAUCUUAUUGUAAAUAUUUUACACAUGUGACUUCUUUGACACUUUUUUGUGGUGUUUUCUUAAUAAUGGAAGAACCAAUUUUCUAGAGACGCACCAACGCACCUGCUUCAAAAGUGUUUUUUGGGGUAGUUAAGUGAACAACAAAAGAUUUAAUACCCACACAAUUUACGGAAAAUAACGCAGAUGUCCUUGCACGUACUACGUAAGUUUUACUAAUUUUCUGAAGACAAAUUAACAUGAGCGCAAACUUUAAGAGGAAAGGAAAAAAGAAACUUCCCUUCUUUCGUGAUUAUAUAUUUUUAUUUCAACAUUAGAUUCUUUUUUUUAUUUUUUUAUAAUGUCUUUUACCGCUUCUUCAGAAGUAUUUUAACAUUUGGUUUUCCUUUAACACUGCAGUGUAAACCGAUUUGUCAGUUCCUAUCUCUGUAUGUUUCUCUUUAUACGAUUUAUUGAAUUGCCUUCCUCUCUGCAUGGUCAACUAAGUUGAUUGUUUCUUCACAGUUCCGUUAAUUCUGGUACCAUUCUAACAUCAACUUUGACUUACGACUUUUCCCCCAACACGAAAUGGUUAUUCCCAUGUGACUCUGACUUUGACUAAAGACAGACUUGCAGUUGUAAUCGUUUACGAUGGAAUUAUGCAUUCUGUUUGUCUGUUGUCGAUACAAGAAGGUGUGGAUGGAGGUUUUAAAUUAGAGAAUAAGGGACAAAAAAAUGUAAAGAAUAGAUAAUAAUGGAC
rnacentral:lncRNA from 1 species